CCUUUCACAGUGUUAACCACGACCUUGUUCUUCUAACCUGCUCUGCCUUUGGGAACCUUACUGCCAUGGCUCUUGGUUUUCCUCCCAGCUCUCUGGCUACCUUAGGGCCCCUGUAACCCUGCCUACCCCUUAAAUGUUAAGUUUCUCAGGAUUCUGUCCUGGGCUCUCCCUCUCAGCCCCGACACUCUCUGGGAAGGGUUUCACUCUCUCAGGCUUUAGAUUGAUAUUGAUAUCCCUGAUAGCUCAGUUGGUAGAGAAUCCGCCUGCAAUGCAGGAGACCUUGCUUUGGGAAGAUCCACUAGAGAAGGGAUAGACUACCCACUCCUGGGCUUUCCUGGUGGCUCAGCUGGUAAAAAAUCUGCCUUCAAUGAGGGAGGCCUGCGUUCGAUCCCUGGGUUGGGAAGAUCCCCUGGAGAAGGGAAAGGCUACCCACUCCAGUAUUGUGGCCUGGAGAAUUCCAUGGACUGCAUAGCCCAUGGGGUCACAGAGUCGGACACGACUGAGGGACUUUCACUUUCACUGUCCAUACACCAGGGAUUCCCAGAUCCUUGCCUCCCACCCUGCUCUGCGUUCUGCGCUUGAGCCCAUAUAUCCAGCCCCAGCGGUCCCACCUCACCACCAGGAGGAAAAAAGCCUCUUUAGGAUCCGGCUAUGCUGACUUUUCCUGCCUGGUUUCUCCCACCAAAUUUUUCAGCCUAUCUAAACCACUGGCUCCUCCUCUUCUGAGCCUCGGCACCACCAUUGUUCCCUCUUCCGGUAACCUCCUCAGCCCUCCCUUCUCCUGGCUCAGUUCCACUCAGCCUUCAGAUCUUAAUGUGGAAAUCACUUCCUUCAGGAAGCGUGGAGGCAGCAGGCCCAGAGGAGCUCGCCCUGUCCAGCACGCCUGCCCCAUCAGAACACCUAUUCCGCUGUAUUACAACAGCCUGUUUCUUUUCUCUGCAUCCUCCCCUAGGCCAGAUGUUUGCUAUUUGGGCUUCCCUGGUGGCUCAGAUGGUAAAGAAUCUGCCUGCAAUGCAGGAGACACAGGAGGUGAACUCCAGGUGUGACAGCCAUUUAGGAGCCAGUAUGGCUGAGUCAUCUCCUCAGACCUUUGCACAGACCACCCCGGGGACCUGCUGCAGGACUGGGCGCUCAGCUACCCGGUGGGAACGCAGCCCUCCCCUCCACCCUGGCCACUCGGGACAGACCACCUGACCACCAGCCACCCCCCAGGUUCCUUCCCUGCAAGACCCAGUUCCUAGUGCUUCGGUCCACUGCUCCCAGAGGGAUGUCUGAACAGAAGCUGGAGCCUUUUUUAGUUUCUUGAGAGAAAAGUGUCUAUAAAUACAAAACACUGUUAUGAUACGACCCUAUUAUUCGCCAGCCAACCAGUUUUUCCUGCACAUCUGUGACUUGCAAGUUUGUUCAUAACAGGGCUCCUGGCUACAAGUUAGCUGGAUUCAAAUUUACUAUAUCAAAAUAACACUCAAAACUGAUUUAUUUCUCACUAUCAACC
ensembl:lncRNA